AUGGAGGUCAGAAUGAUGGUGUCCAUUCAAGGAACACUUACGUUAACACUACCUAAAAUCAGAUGUGACCAGAGACGUGGUUACCUUUCUGUUCAGUCCUAUCAAACUGUCUCUUCCCAGUGGAGACAGACAACAGGAGAGGAGCAGAUAGGAAGAAGGAAGGAACUCGGGAUCAACUCCUCUAUGUUGAACACAAAGGCACAUUCAUUGCCUCACUCAUCACUUUAAAGAAAAAUGCAGAGGGAACUGCAUAUCUCCAAGUUCUUAUGGUGCAAUUCACCAUGUUUUCAACAUAAGUUCCAAUUACAAAAUUUUCAUUUUAUUUUUAAAAUUUUGGUAAGUAAAUUCUUUUAUGAUCUACAUUUGGAGUUUUUAAUGCAGCAAGUAAAAAUGAGCAAUAUUGAAAAUUAACUUGAAGGUAGCCUUGAUUUUAAAAAUGAUCACUUCCUUCUGUAAUAAUACCUCCAAUGCCAAUUCUAAAUUUUUAUGGAAUAGUGUGAAAUAAUGCUGACUGCACACAUCCAGUGGCGAUGAAUUGACUGAGUGCAUGCCAGAUCAAGAAAUGAGACUCUUGGGACUGACUUUAACUAUAUCCACCAUAAUCAAUCAUGUAGAACACAUGAUGAGGCUGCUAGUUGUAGAUUACAUCUGUGGAACCCAGACAUAUCUGCGAUUUUUUUUUUUUAAGUAGAGUAGUAGAACAGAAAUAUAAAAGAAUUGAAAUUUGUUUCUGAUUUAAACAAAAAUAUUUACUCUUUUCAUUAGCAAAACAUUCUUUCUUUAAAAUAUAUCUAUUUUUCCUCUGAACAUUUAGCCAAGGAGCACUAGGCAAUUUUUGAAGGUUUCAGUGCUGACUGACUGUUCAAUACAAUAAAUACAGCUGUAGAGCGCACACAGCAACAAUAGCUUAUUUACAUCCACUGAGAAGAAAUUUAUUCUCAUCUGGUUACAGUGUCCAGUCCCCCAAAGGAAAGGUUUGGCAUUCGUGUGCUUUUUGUUCUUGGUGGGAAUCACUUCUGCUUGAUUUUCAUUGUUGAAAGAAAAAAAAAAAAAAAAAAUCAGCUGAUGGCCUCAGAUUUUCUGACAUGAUGUGAAAGAAUGCGACAAAAAUUAGCUGCUACCAUGGAGUUAGUCUGGGACUGGGUUUCCAGGCAGAUCUCGCUUCUUCCCAGGUGGGCGUCCAGUGGGCUCCACGGGAACCAAGAGGUAGAUGCCCAGGACCCAGGCGUGCUGAGCCGCAUCCAGGGACGGGUCACUCUCUCGCUCAGCUGAGCACCCCCUGCUCUGCCUCAGUCACCACCCCUACUCACUACCCUAUAUACUGAUGCUCGUGGCUACAGAACUUAUGGAAACCAGUUCACACGGAAACAAAAGCGGAGAACUCAACCAAGAGGUGGGCUAUGCACGUGUGUCAUCGUCCAGUGCUGCCUCCUGAGCUACUGUCUGUUGCGAUCAUGGGUGGAGGAUGGGAACAUAUGUUCCUCAUAGCAGAAUUCUCCUGUGUUUCUCUUGAUUUUUGAGAAGGUUAUGUUUUUCCAAACAAUUCGAUCAAAGUAGAGUCUGAUGUCUGCUCUUUCUGGCAAACCAAUAAUAAUGGUAGAAAUUUCAGCCUCUCUCUUUUGAAUUUCAAAACUUACCUAAAAGUGGAAUGUUUUUCCCUGGCAAAUGAUUACUUACUUCUUUGAAAAGUGGACAGUAUUUCUUUUUUGGAUCCAACUCAGCCCUUCAGAAAAUACUUCAGACUGAAAGAGGAGGAAGUAGAGGAGAACUAACUUCCUAUUGUGCCUUACAUAAAACAUUUUGCUGAAAUGAAGAGCAGCUCUGACUACAAAAGUAAAUAUUUGUGCAAAGGGCACACUGCCAGGUGCAAUCUCAAGACAUCCUCAAUUUACUCAUAGUGUUGUGACUCUUUAAAACACAAGUCUUUUAAGUGAUGAAACCUAGCAAGUAAUGGGAAGGAAGUUAACAUCAGAAAAUACACUUAGAAAAAGUACAGGAUAUUUUGCCUGGCAUUUGCUACUUAUUUCAUAACUUAGAUCAAGUAAGUGUUAAAUAUUCACAGUAAUUUCAGAGAAGAAACAUGUCUGUAAAACUUCAAUCUAUUGCAUUUUCAACAUUUUUCUGCACAAUUACAAAAUGUCAUCUGUCGGUGCUUUCCUGUAGAAUUCUUUACUGUCAG
ensembl:lncRNA